GCACUGGAUCGUUUAAGAUAUCCGAAGUUAAGCAAUGUUGAACCUGGUCAGUACUUAGAUGGGUGACUGUUCGGGAAUACUAGGUGCUGUAAG